rnacentral:lncRNA from 1 species
UUAUUGUUUGAAUAAAGAAAUGAGAUAUUGCCAAUACUGCAAACUCCCCCAACUGCACUAAAGUCAUAUACAUAAUCCAUCAUACAUUGCAUCUUAUUUUCCAUAUCAUACAUGUGCCUCUGUCUCUCUAGUUUUUACAAUUCUAAAGGAUUUCACAAUACCAUGUGUCCCCCCUCCCGUAUUCAUACCAAAUUAUCCCACGUAAUCCCUUUGCUCCAUUCAAUUUUACCAACUUUUUCUUCUUCUUCUUCUUCUUCUUCUUCUUUUCCAGUGUCCAAUUAGUUUAGCUUUAUGUGUAUUAUCCACACUGUCGCCUAAUUAUCAUAUAUGAAAAACAAUUAUUAUAUAAAAUUAGGCUAAUGAUGUGAUGGGAACGAAUUCAGCUGAGUCUAUGUCAUACAGCUGACAAGACCCUUUAGUUUCGAUGGAGGUUAUUGUUUCAGUUAGACUCAAAAAUCUCACAUGAUUUAUCGAUGCACAUUUAUAAUCUAUUUUCACACUUUUUAAUUUAUCGAUGCACAUUUAUAAUUAAAAACUCAAUCAAUAUCUGAAAGAUGUAGUAGUAUAAAUUUAAAGUCGAAAUGAUCACAAGUUGAUAUAGGAUUACUUCUUUAUCUAUUU